rnacentral:rRNA from 1 species
GUCUACGGCCAUACCACCCUGAACGCACCCUAUCUUGUCUGAUCUCGGACGCUAAGCAGGGUUGGGCCUGCUUAGUACUUGGAUGGCAGAAU